rnacentral:hammerhead_ribozyme from 1 species
AUCCAGCUGACGAUUCUCAGACAGGACGAAACACGCGUCCUGAAU